GCGGAGGGAUCAUUACCGAGUUUACAACUCCCAAACCCCUGUGAACAUACCAAUUGUUGCCUCGGCGGAUCAGCCCGCUCCCGGUAAAACGGGACGGCCCGCCAGAGGACCCCCAAACUCUGUUUCUAUAUGUAACUUCUGAGUAAAACCAUAAAUAAAUCAAAACUUUCAACAACGGAUCUCUUGGUUCUGGCAUCGAUGAAGAACGCAGCAAAAUGCGAUAAGUAAUGUGAAUUGCAGAAUUCAGUGAAUCAUCGAAUCUUUGAACGCACAUUGCGCCCGCCAGUAUUCUGGCGGGCAUGCCUGUUCGAGCGUCAUUUCAACCCUCAAGCCCAGCUUGGUGUUGGGACUCGCGAGUCAAAUCGCGUUCCCCAAAUUGAUUGGCGGUCACGUCGAGCUUCCAUAGCGUAGUAGUAAAACCCUCGUUACUGGUAAUCGUCGCGGCCACGCCGUUAAACCCCAACUUCUGAAUGUGACCUCGGAUCAGGUAGGGAGCAAAAGAAACCAACAGGGAUUGCCCUAGUAACGGCGAAGUGAAGCGGCAACAGCUCAAAUUUGAAAUCUGGCUCUCGGGCCCGUAGUUGUAAUUUGUAGAGGAUACUUUUGAUGCGGUGCCUUCCGAGUUCCCUGGAACGGGACGCCAUAGAGGGUGAGAGCCCCGUCUGGUUGGAUGCCAAAUCUCUGUAAAGUUCCUUCGACGAGUCGAGUAGUUUGGGAAUGCUGCUCUAAAUGGGAGGUAUAUGUCUUCUAAAGCUAAAUACCGGCCAGAGACCGAUAGCGCACAAGUAGAGUGAUCGAAAGAUGAAAAGCACUUUGAAAAGAGAGUUAAAAAGUACGUGAAAUUGUUGAAAGGGAAGCGUUUAUGACCAGACUUGGGCUUGGUUAAUCAUCUGGGGUUCUCCCCAGUGCACUUUUCCAGUCCAGGCCAGCAUCAGUUUUCCCCGGGGGAUAAAGACUUCGGGAAUGUGGCUCUCUUCGGGGAGUGUUAUAGCCCGUUGUGUAAUACCCUGGGGGGGACUGAGGUUCGCGCAUCUGCAAGGAUGCUGGCGUAAUGGUCAUCAACGACCCGUCUU
rnacentral:rRNA from 1 species